UACGGAGGGUGCAAGCGUUAUCCGGAUUCACUGGGUUUAAAGGGCCAGUAGGCGGCCAACUAAGUCACACGUGAAAUCCCCAGGCUUAACCUGGGAACUGCGUGUGAUACUGGAUGGCUUGAAUUCGGGAGAGGGAUGCAGAAUUCCAGGUGUAGCGGUGAAAUGCGUAGAUAUCUGGAGGAAUACCGGUGGCGAAGGCGGCAUCCUGGGAAGUUCCUGACGCUCGGGUGCGAAAGCCAGGGGAGCGAACGGG
rnacentral:rRNA from 1 species